AGGACGAACGCUGGCGGCGUGCUUAACACAUGCAAGUCGAGCGAGAAAGCUCCUUCGGGAGUGAGUACAGCGGCGAACGGGUGAGUAACACGUGGGCAACCUGCCCUAGGGAGCGGGACAACCCGAGGAAACUCGGGCUAAUACCGCAUGAUUCGCCGGGCCUCAAGGCCUGGCGGGAAAUGGUAGCUUCGGCCUCCGCCCUGGGAUGGGCCCGCGGCGCAUUAGCUUGUUGGUGGGGUAAUGGCUCACCAAGGCGACGAUGCGUAGCUGGUCUGAGAGGACGAUCAGCCACACUGGGACUGAGACACGGCCCAGACUCCUACGGGAGCAGCAGUGGGAAUCUUGCGCAAUGGGCGGAAGCCUGACGCAGCGACGCCGCGUGUGGGAAGACGGCCUUGGGUUCGUAAACCGACUUUCGAAGGGGGACGAAGCCGUUCCGAGGUUAAUAGCCGUACGGGUCGACCGGUACCCCCCAGGAACGAAGCCCCGGAUAACGUACGUGCCAGCCGAGCCGC
rnacentral:rRNA from 1 species